rnacentral:rRNA from 1 species
GAAACUAAAUAGGAUUCCCUCAGUAAUGGCGAAUGAACAGGGAUCAGCUCAGCAUGGAAAUUGGGGCCUUCGGCCUUGAAUUGUAGUCUCCAGAUGCAUCGCCAAUGGAGGCGCAGAUGUAAGCCUCUUGGAAAAGAGCAUCAACGAGGGUGAGAGUCCCGCUUGUCAUCUGCAGUCCCCCAUGCACGGCGUGCCUUCUAAGAGUCGCGUUCCUCGGAAUUGGAGCGUAAAUUGGGUGGUAAAUUUCAUCUCAAGCUAAAUAUUGGUUCGAGACCGAUAGCAAACAAGUACCAUGAGGGAAAGGUGAAAAGGACUUUGAAAAGAGAGUUAAAAGUGCCUGAAAUUGCUGAAAGGGAAGCGAAUGGAACCAGUGUUGCUUGGCGAGAUUGUCAUACGCAUUCGCGUGUGGUGGUUCUUGCCUUGUGUGUCAACGCCAGUUCGUGAUCGAGGAAAACUCUAGGGACAUGGUAGCUUGCCUCUGGGUGGGCGAAUGUGCCUGGUAGAACUCAUUUGCGGACUGAUUCAUUUGUGUCUGGUUGCAGUGCUUGUUGUCAUUUCGACGUGCUGGUGAUAGGGGCUCGCUCCUUGAUCUGUGCGCUCGGGUGACUGGGCAUUUCCCUGACAUAUAGACGAUGACUA